rnacentral:rRNA from 1 species
UACGGAGAGUGCAAACGUUGUUCGGAUUCACUGGGCGUAAAGGGCACGUAGGCGGCUCGGCAAAUCGGUCGUGGAAUCUCGACGCUUACCGUCGAAACGGCGGCCGAAAAUACCGGGCUCGAGGGCGUGAGGGGUCACUGGAACUCCUGGUGAAGCGGUGAAAUGCGUAGAUAUCAGGAGGAACGCCGGAGGCGAAAGCGAGUGACUGGCGCGUUCCUGACGCUGAGGUGCGAAAGCUAGGGGAGCGAACCGG